rnacentral:misc_RNA from 1 species
GAAAUGCGAUACUUGGUGUGAAUUGCAGAAUCCCGUGAACCAUCGAGUCUUUGAACGCAAGUUGCGCCCGAAGCCAUUAGGCCGAGGGCACGCCUGCCUGGGUGUCACGCAUCAGACCUCUGAUCAGGAAAGACUACCCGCUGAGUUUAA